rnacentral:rRNA from 1 species
GCAAGUCGAGGGGUAACAGGAGUGCUUGCUCUUGCUGACGACCGGCGCACGGGUGCGUAACGCGUAUACAAUCUACCUUAUGCUGAGGGAUAGCCCUGAGAAAUUUGGAUUAAUACCUCAUAGUAUCAUAAAGCUGCAUAGUUUUAUGAUUAAAGGUUACGGCAUAAGAUGAGUAUGCGUCCUAUUAGUUUGAUGGUGUGGUAACGGCACACCAAGACUACGAUAGGUAGGGGCCCUGAGAGGGAGAUC